CGAUUCCGUGCGAGAACCGAGAGGAGCGUGUCGCCGUCGUCGUCGUCGUCGUUUGGGCGGCGCCUGGCCACCCACAAGGCCAGCAUGUGACCCCGCCUCGGUUCAGCCGCCUGCCGCUGGGAGCCGAGAGGGUGGCCGGCAAGGUCACUCUGGACAGUGAGAUGGGUAGCAUAUAACUUUAAUAACAACAUCAACAACAACUGGAUCACUGCUUGAAUGCCAUUGUCAUUGACAAAUUCGCCAUCACUCAAUUGCAAAAAGCGGCUUUACUCCUUCCAUCCUGCGACAAUAUCUAUAACACCAUCAAACAUCCACAUCUACCUACCCCUGGUCCUUGUGAGAGAUGAGUGCUGGGAUUCAGAGCAUUUCAUUGUCUUCAAUCAAUAUCGAGUAUAGAUUCUUAAAUCAGCAAAGGAUUUUUGAAGCAGAUUUUCUCUAUUGGAUCUGGAAUUCAAACCCUCUGCCCAAACCCCUGCAGAAUCUGGCAAGUGUCCAAGGGCAUACAUUACCAGUCUCUGCCUUACAAGAUGACCCUCCAAAUCUUUUGAUGACAAAAGGAAAAGGAAUUGGUAAAAAUGUCUCUCCCCAACUGUAAAUUUUGAACCCUGAAUGGACGUGGUUUCCAUUUUCCUUCAUUUAUUAAGUGUCGCUGAUGUACCGUAUUUUCUUUUGCUUUUGCUAAGUAGAUGUGUCACAUCUGCCUUAUACAAAUACAAAUUCAUCUGGCAGGGGGCUUUCCCUUGCUUUCGAAGUAUGCCACCCUUAAAGCAACCUCUAACCUGAUUGUUUCUGUUGUGUCUGGAUUUUCACCAGCAUAGAGCUGAUGAGAUCCCAUGUUUAUUUACCAGCACUGCCAGUUUUUUAAACUGCUAUGAAAUGCUACAAAUCUAUGUCAGCAUUUUUGUAUAAAAUUAAUGCUAACUAUAAAUUGUUAACUCAUUACUACACUAACCAAAGUAUUUAAUCUAUUUAGUCCAGUCUUGAAGUUUGCCUUUAAUUGGUUUGGGUUCUUAGAAAUGCCAUCUAUCUAUUGAAAAGUGAUUUGGUGAGUGAAUAUUCUCAAAAAUAAAUGAAAUUUGAGGGCAUAACAAGGAACAAACUUUUCUUUAUUACUGAAGAGCCACCAUAGAGUAGUUCAAUGAUCAGCCUAGCAAGACUUGAUUCAAGGAAAUCUAAGUUCAGAUCCACACACGAACUGUGGAACUCCUUGGUACCAUAGACUCAGGGGUGAAAUUUAAAAAUUUUCCCUACCAGUUCUGUGGGCAUGGCUUAAUUGGUGGGCAUGGCUUGGUGGGCAGUUACCCAGUGGGCGUGGCUUGAUGGUCAGGUGACUGGGUGGGCAUGGCCAAUAAUAAUAAAUAAUAAAAAUAAUAAACAAAGUACACAAAACAGUAAGAGGUACCAAAAACCAACUUUCACACUUUACACACACACAACACAGCAGAACACAACUGACUCACACACAAUGUAAAAGCAGCUGCACUUCACCCAAAAUGGCCACUGCAACAAGCAGGAACCUCACACAGCCACAAAAAGCUCAAAAACCAACUUUCAUAAUUUACACACACACAACACUACACAACACAACACAAUUGACUCACACACAAUGUAAAAGCAGCUGCACUUCACCCAAAAUGGCCCCUGCAAAAAGCAGGAAACUCACACAGCCACAAAAAGCUCAAAAACCAACUUUCACACUUUUUCCACACAAAAUGCCACAUACAGCUUUGUGAUACUUUGUGUGUUUGUGUAGUUAGAGUGAAACACUACAGAAACAUACCAAAUCUCAGAAAGCUGCACCAAUAUUUUAUUUUAUUAUUUUAUUUUAUUUUAUUUAUAUUUUUAGAUAAAAGCAGCUAAAUUUAAAACUUCUAAAUUGCUAUGUCUAAAAAAAAAAAAAUUCCUUAAAAAAACCCGAUUAACUAUUAACUAUUUUUUUAAAGCUCCCCCCACAAAAAAAACCCCUCAAUUACUUACCAAAUUGAAGGCACAAGGCAGGCAGGCAGGCAGGCAGAUUCAGCUGCUUACCGAUGAGAUUGAUUGCAGGCAGGCAGAUUCAGUUGCUAGCUGAUGCAAUUGAUUGCAGCGAUUGCAGCAGCCGUAGCAAGACAGGAAAAGCAAGCAAGCCCGGAAGAAGCAGCAAGCUGCCAAGCAGGCAAGUGGGGCCAGGGGGUGGGCAGGGAUUUUUGCUACCGGUUCUCCGAACCACCUGCCACUAUCGCUACCGGAUCAGCCGAUCUGGUUUGAACCAGGAGCAUAGACUAGUCACUGAAAAGGCACUUGAGUAAAAAAAAUGCAAACAUAAACUAGACAACCAAAUUUUUGCAGGUCCAUGGCAAAUGUACCUACAAAUAUCAGAAUUGUGCAAGCAAUGAUCUUCCUUGUGAUACUAUAAGGAAGAAAAAGUUGGACUUUGAAGAAGCAGAAGAGGAAUAGUAUUGAUGCUUUUGGUGUAGAAGACAACUCCUGAGUAUACCAGAGAGAACCAAGAAAACAAACAAAUGGAUCAUCAAAUAAACCAAUUCAAAGUUCUCACUCAUAGCACAAAUGACCAGGCUCAAAUUAUCCUACUGUGGCCAGGUUAUGCAAAGACCUAGCACUCUACUGAAAACUCUGAUGCUGGGAAAGAAGAUGACCACAAGCAAGCAGCUAUAGUAACAAUGGGUGCAAUAUUGGACCUGAAAGGCCUGGUCAGGAACAGAUUGUCAUGGGGGGAAAAGCUAAUGUGUUUCCCCAAAAAUAAGACCCUGUCUUAUAUUUUUUUGAACCCUGAAAUAAGCCCUUGGCCUUAUUGCAUGUGCUCGAAAACCCAAUUGGGCUUAUUAUCAGGGGAUGUCAUAUUUUGGGGGUGCAGGGUAUGUAUGUAUGUAUAUGUUUGCUAUACGUAGGUACCAACUUGAUGGCAUAUAAUCAAUCAAUCAAUCAUCCUCUGAAAAUGUUAGUGUAUGGUUCAUUGAGUUGUUCAAAUGUGGAAAAUGGCACUGAAGAAACCAUGAUUGUUAAUCAUGGGUAUGUAUUAACACACUUGUCUCUCAAUGUUGUCUAUCGUACAGAGUUUUGUAAGGAUAAAUUGAGAGAGAGAAUGUUCUGUGUUAACUGAACUCCUUGAAGGAAAGAUAAUGAACUUGAUUGCUUUAAAAACCACCAUAGAAAACACUCUGAAGAUGCCUCUAGGGUCCUCCUACCUUAUUUCAAAUACUUCUUUAUCUGAAAUAUGGAGGACUAAACAGCUUUCAGGCUAUGCAAUACAUUACUUCUGGAACAGGAUUAUGUCCCUCCCCUUUUCUUUAAUUUAAACAGAUGGUAAGUAGCAUCUGGCUGACCUUCUCUGAGCUUAGCAGCUAGAUCUAACUAGGGACUAACUAAUACCUGAAUUGCAAUAAAUCAAGAAAGCUCAUGCAUUAACCUAUGACUACCAUACGUAGGCGCAAAAUCCAGGCAGCCACUAGUUAGCAGCAAAUAGUAAGUUUCUUUUUGCUGCCAUCUAGUGACUUCCUGGAUUUUUGCAAGCUAAAUGUUGUAGCCCUUCUGUAGGCUAGAUUGGGAAAAGUAAAAAAAAAAAACAUCCUAAAAGAAAAGAGUAGCGAAUCCUCAUCAUUCUAUUGCAAGAAAAUGGCACAGCUUUGUCCAUAUAGUCUCCAGGAAUCAAAAGCACUUUUACUCUCUUCCGUAAAGAAGAGAGCCAUUUUGUUGAUGCCUUGUCUGAAUAGAAAAAGAUAGACAUCUGAUUAAUUAAAUGCUAGUAACUGUGGUCCCUUUGGUACUGAUUUAGUAGGACAUCUGAACCUAGCCAUUUUGGUUUUUAAAUGAUGAUUAAGAUCUGAUGAGUUGUUUAAUAAUUUUGGUUUAAAACAAAUCAUGGUUGAGUAUGAGAUAUCAGCCCACCCAACAGAAAUCAAUUGAAAGUAAUAAUAAAAUCCAGUCAUGCAUGUUUAUCAAUACAUUCAAAGGGAUUUACAUCUGAGAAAACAUUGUUAAGAUCGGAUCUAUUAAUAGAAAUGGAAUUUAAGAUUGAAUCAUAUGCAUAUCUAUCUGAGAAUAAAUGGGAGUAAAAUACAAUGGGAAUUAUUUUUGUGUAAACAUCACCAGUUGUACCACAUAUUGUGCUCCCUCUUAUAAAGCAAUAGGACCAACUUUCUCCCAAAAGUGAAAUAAAACACCCAUAUCACCUUGCUUUGUCCUGCUUUGAUCUCCUCUGCAACCUCUUCCAGAGGAUCCUCUGGUACUUCAAACAACUGGAAGAGGCAACAUCAACAUGACCUCUCUCAGAUCUAGGACAUGAUUACUGUACGAUAGAUUGUACAAACCCAAGCACAGUGGUGGGAUUCAGCCAGUUCGCACCACUUCGGGAGAACUGGUUGUUAACUUACUGAGCAGUUUGGCAAACUAGUUGUUGGAAGAAAUUAUUA